rnacentral:rRNA from 1 species
UACGUAGGGUCCGAGCGUUGUCCGGAAUUAUUGGGCGUAAAGGGCUCGUAGGCGGUUUGUCGCGUCGGGAGUGAAAACCAGGUGCUUAACACCUGGCCUGCUUUCGAUACGGGCAGACUAGAGGCAUUCAGGGGAGAACGGAAUUCCGGGUGGAGUGGUGAAAUGCGUAGAGAUCCGGAGGAACACCAAAGGCGAAGGCAGUGUCCUGGGGAGUACCUGACGCUCAGGUGCGAAAGCCAGGGGAGCGAACGGG